rnacentral:rRNA from 1 species
CAAUAGCGUAUAUUAAAGUUGUUGCAGUUAAAAAGCUCGUAGUUGGAUUUCUGGUCGGAAGCUCCUGUCCUCUGAUGAGCGUACAAGUGCGUCCUACCAUCCUUCUGUUAACCUUUAAGGCUUUCGCGGCUUUCUAGGGGCUCAGAUAUUUUACCUUGAGAAAAUUAGAGUGUUUCAGGCAGACUAGCGCCGGAAUACAUUAGCAUGGAAUAAUGGAAUAGGACUUUUGCCUCUUCUGUUGGUCAUGAGGCUCGAGUAAUGAUUAAUAGGGAUAGUUGGGGGCAUUAGUACUUAACUGUCAGAGGUGAAAUUCUCGGAUUUGUUAAAGACUAACUUAUGCGAAAGCAUUUGCCAAGGAUGUUUUCAUUAA